ensembl:lncRNA
GUCAAACAUUUUUUUUAGGUUAAAAGUCCAAUCAGUACAAAAAGAUGUAUAACAAAAAGUGACUCAUCUUCCUCUGGUGUCCCCCAGCUCCCCUCCCCGCAGGCCACAGAUCCCUGUGUGUCCCUCCACAGAUGUGCUGCACUUCUAUGAGCACAGUCACCAGACACCUCUUAUGGGUCAGACAGCAGCUGGGCAUCAGAGUCACAUGGCACUUUUUCAAAAUGUCAAGGGGCCAGCCCGGUGGUGCAGCGGUUAAGUGCGCACAUUCUACUUCCUGGCGGCCCGGGGUUCGCCAGCCCAGAUCCCGGAUGUGGACAUGGCACCGCUUGGCAAGCCAUGCUGGGCAGGCGUCCCACAUAGAAAGUAGAGGAAGAUGGGCACAGAUGUUAGCUCAGGCAGGGUCAGUCUUCUUCAGCAAAAAAUAGGAGGAUUGGCAGCAGUUAGCUCAGGGCUAAUCAUCUUCAAAAAAAAAAAAAGUUUUCGAGACUCAGGACCCUUGUCAGACCUCUGGAGGUAGAAUUCCUAAAAUUGGAGCCAGAGUGUCUACAUUUUUUUAAGCCAGUGUUUUCUGUUGCUCAACCAGGCGGAGACCUCUGUACUCAAGAUGCAACGUCCCAGACACAAUUCCUGCUCCCCAGUCCCCUGAAGUCUGCCAGAGAUGGGCCCGGAGCUCCAACUACCUGGGCCACUGCUCAGAGUUGUACAGACUGUACCCUGCGCAGGGGCACCCAGACAAGCCCUGAAAUCUGGUCAAACCCUCGAACCAAGGCAGGUGACACCACAUCCAACCCCCAGAGGCGCUGGCACCACCUUCGAAUUUACUAUGUCAACUGUUCCAUGUGAAUGCAGGGAGACCUGUUCUGUGAUGCAGCAGCGCAGGCGGGGGCCCUCAGUCUGGCUGCAGGCCCGGGAUGACUUUCUGCAGGAGGUGAUGCUUGGGCCAAGUUUUGUAUAGAGUUGGAAUCAAAGAAGGCGGGCCUCUACCUGUACAUACUUCUCUCUCCCAGGUCGCCCCACUCCAACCCCGACCCCACAGCUCUGUAUGCUUAUCAGGGGCCACUGGCGGGGACACUUUAAUAACAAUGUACAUCCUGAAGGUCCUGGGAGACAGACUGGGAUGGAAGGAGGGAUCCAGCCGUAAGUCAGCGCAGCGCGCCUGGCCUGGGACAUCUUGAGGUUAAUUGACUUGGUGUCCAGAAGUACCUGCUUAGGGGAACAGGGAUGCAGGAGCCUUGUUCCUUCUGGCAAUCUGAGAGGUUCUGCAACGCCAGCAUCCACCUCUCAACAGCCUGAAUCGAUGCUAUCAAAGAGGUGUCCUCAGACCACGGCCAAUCCACAGACUGUUACCCAUCUGCAAUGAGCUAAGUACAGAAAUGGAAAGUAAGCAUUUAGAAACUUUUAAACAAUCUAACAAGGUCGGUUAAAGUCGAGGCUAGUAUUGUGCAUCUUUUUUUAAAUUUCAUUUUAUCUAUUAAAAUUUUUUAUUAUAAAAUAUACCGUUUUAACUAUUUUUAAGUGUAUAAUUCAGUGGCAUUAAGUACAUCCACAAUGUUAUAUAACCAUUACCUCUAUCUUGUAUAUUUCUUUCUUUCUUUUUUUUUUUUUGAGGAAGAUUCGCCCUGAGCUAGCAGCCACCGCCAAUCCUCCUCUAUUUGCUUAGGAAGGCAGACCCUGAGCUCACAUCCGUGCCCAUCUUCCUCUACUUUAUAUGUGGGACGCCUGCCACAGCAUGGCUUGACGUAGCACGUAGGUUCCGCACCCAGGAUCGGAAUCAGCAAACCCCGGGCUGCUGAAGCGGAAUGUGCGAACUUAACCACUGUGCCACCGGCCUGGCCCUCGUAUAUUUCUUUAAUUUUGCAAAAGUAUAAGUUCUCAGCAGAUUAGAAAAAAAUUUUUAAUGUCGUUUGAGAAGCACUGGCCUCAAUGUUGACCUCUGGGUUCCCAAAGCCUCAAAGGCUUGGGGGAAAUAGGCACCUGAUUGAAGGGCUUGUACAUUGUUUGGCUUCAUUUCCCCAAACUGUUGAGAUUUGCCCCAGAGAGUGGCAUGGCUGAGGCCCAGCCUCCCUGGGCUGGAGGAGCGGACGGAUGGGCACCAACCUGGAAGGGAGUGGAGGAGGCCUUGUGCUCCCCGGGCUGGGCAGAGGAGUGCUCUCCGGGGAAAGGCCUGCCCUGUGCCCUGGGCAAGGGGGCCCAAUGAGAUGCUGCAGGAUGUUCUGGCAGCCUUUCCCCCACUCAGCCGGCGGGGGGAGGCGAGUUGGUUUAGACUUCCAAGAAUGUCAGCUCCGACUGGAAGGGCCCUCAGUGACCCUGUUGUCUGCCCUCCUUGUUUAGAGGAAGAGCUUGAGGCUGGAGAGAAAGGACUUGCCCAAGGUUACAGCCAGUUAGUGGUGCUCCCAAAUCUAGGCCUUUCAGUUCCCAGGCAGGAGCGGGCCAGAGGUGUCUGGAGUCACACAGGAUGGGAUCAAGUUCUAGCUCUAUUAGCGCCAAGGGGCCUUGGGCAUCUGUACCCUCAUCUGUCAAAUGGGGAUAAUCCCUCACAGCUGGACGCGUACUGAGCCUGUGCUGGGUUUAAGGAGGGGCCUAGCCCAGGUUGGGGGAUAGGCAGGACGAGUCAGUGCCCUGCCCCUCCCUGCCCCUUCCUGCCCAGUGUUCCUCCUGCCGACUGCUGGGGCUUCUCAGCCUGCCACGGCCCCUUGCUGCAGCUGAGGGGACAGAGGAAGACAGACCCUCUCCCUCCAGACUGAGAAGAACAGGGGGCUCAUAACCUACCCCACCGGCCCCUCUGAGCCUCUCCCUCCCCAGCUGGCCAGCCCUCCAGGCCCGACCCCUCCGCUAACUCUCUGGGCAUCUUUGAGACAUUUUUGUCCUUUCUGGGACUCAGAACAUUUAUAAAAUGAAGGAGUUGAAUCAGAAGAACUCGAAAGUCCAUUUUGAGGAGUGGGUGCUGAAGUUUGGAUGCUUUAAAUUUCUGUAUCUUUUCUGGGAGAGUUAAACUCCCAGCAUGUCAGACUGGGCCGCCUCGGGUUCCUGGCCACCUGCCUCCCUCUGUUCUUGCCUUUCUCCGUACUUUCUCUCUCCCUCCAGUCUCUCUUUUCUCUCUUAUGGCUGAGGUGUUUUGAGCGCUUACCAUUUGCUAUGCACUGUUUAAGCAUUUUACAUAUUCCAUCCUGUGGAAUCCUUAAAACAUCCUUGUGAAGUAAAUACUAUUCUUAUCCCAUUUUCCAGACAAGGAAACUGAGGUUCGGAGAGUUACGUCACUGACCCACAGCUGGUCAGUGGGAGCGCCAUAGGAGGCACUGACACCAUUCCCCAGAUGGGCAGUUCAUUCUGGCCUGAAUUCACCUAAUUCAAAAUGGCGGGUGCCUGUUCUCACCUCCUCCCUCCUGUUUUCCCCAAAUGGGCUCUGACUCCCACCCCAGAGACGCCCCUGCUGGGCGCAUCACCAGGGCCGUCAGGGAGGAGGGUUUGGCUGUUGGUGGGCAGAGGAUCACUCCUCGGUUCCAGUUUCUGACUUGUAUCUCAGGUAUCAGGCCUCUACCUUCCACCUCCUUCCUCUCCUUUCUCUUCAGAUGUCCAAGAGCUGGAAGGUCCCCUAAGGGAUUACCCAGAACAGGCCUCUGCAUUCAAUCACUUAUUCAUUCACUGAACAAGUACAUUUCGAGUCCUCCUACCUGCCAGGCAGUGUUAGGCCCUGGGGAGACAGCUAUGUACAGGGCAGACAAGCUCCCUGUCCUCAAGAGCUUACAUUCUGGUGGAGGAGACAGACAAUAACAAAAGAUGAUGAGUGCAAUGGAGAACAUGAAAGGGGUGCUGUGACACACAGUGACCGCAGCAGGGGCGAGGUCCUCUACAGAGUAGGUGGGCAGGCGGCAGUGCACUCCUGGCAGAGAGAACAGCUAGUGCAAAGACCCAAAGGCAGGAACCAGCAGGUGUGAGGAAGGAGCACAAAGCCCUGCAUGGCUGGAGAGGAUGAGCAAGGGGCCCAGGGCAAGGGGGCUGGGCAGCGCCAGCCAUGCAGACCUUGGGCCAGGACGAGGGGUCGCAUUCUGUUCUGUGUGUGAUGUGAAGCCUCUGGGGACUUUAAGCAGGGGGUGAUUAUGUUUGUAAAGGACUCUUGGGCCACUGCGAGGAGAGUGGAUGUAAGGGGAGCAGGAGUGCGGGAGGGAGAAAUGAGGGUGGCUUGGACUAGGGGGGGUCAAUGCGAUAAAGAGACAAGGUCAGAUUCAGAGUCUAUCACAGUGGAGCCAACAGGAUGCUGAUGGAUGAGAUGUGGGCCGGGGCGGGGUGGGGGGGGUGAGGGAUGCCCCCUGGGGUUUUUCGCCUGGGCAGCUGAGUGAAUGGAGGUGUCAUCUACUCAAAUGGAAAAGCCUGGAGAAGGAACCCGGAUGGAAAGAAGCAAUGUUUCCACUUAACCUUCAUGGCAGACCCUGCUAGCUGGCUUCCCAGCAAAUCUAUUCUCUCUCCUUCUUUUUCAUAAUAGAAGGCCGAAAGGUUUUUUUUUUUUCUUCAAGCAUUGACCUGUCUGUCCCCUCCUUCUGCCUUUUGCCCUUUUCCCAUCCUCCUUUCUCCGGCCUGGAAUGGAGACAGGAUACUAGAGAUACAGCAGCCAUCUUGUGACAACUAGGGUAGAGGCCACUGGAUAAGAUAGCUGGAGCGGGGAGAUAGAUGGCGCCUGAGCCCUUGAUACUAUCACUGAGCUGGCAUAGCAGUCUUUGACUGCCUUUCCCCCGGGUUCUUGUUGUGGGAGGCAAAUUAAUCCUUUUAUUUGUUUAAGCCACUGUUUUGUGGCUUUUCAUUGCUUGCUGCGGAAUGCAGUUGUUGCUAACAGAGUCAUGUUGAGUUUGAGAUUUUGGAGGAGAAACCAGAAUUCAGUCAUUCAUUCAAGAAAUAUGUAUUGAGGACCUACUAUGCGCCAGGCACUGCUGAGAAUUCAGCAGUGGAUCAAACAGGUAAAAAUGCCUGCCCUUGAGGAGUUUAUACUCUGGAGUAACCUAGAAGCCGGACCUGACUUCUGGGCUAUGCAUUCUCAUUUGAUCCAAAGGUGGUAAGAUUUGAACUAUAAAGAGGGGACAGGGGUAAAAUGUGGCCUGUCUAUUCUCACAGGCUUCCUCAUCCACCCAUUAUGUUAGCAAAUUGAAAAUCAACAUAUUGGGGCCCGCCCCGGUGGCGCAGUGGUUAAGUGCGCGCGUUCUACUUCAGCGACCCGGGGUUCGCCGGUUUGGAUCCCGGGUGUGGACAUGCCAUCACUUGGCACGCCAUGCUGUGGUAGGCGUCCCACACAUGGAGUAGAGGAAGCUGGGCACGGAUGUUAGCUCAGGGCCAGUCUUCUUCAGCAAAAAGAGGAGGGUUGGUGGCAGAUGUUAGCUCAGGGCUAAUCUUCCCCAAAAACAAAUUAAAAAAUAAAUUUAAAAAAUUAAAAAAAAAAUCAACAUACUUCUCUGGUGUUUUCUAUAAGCCAAACACUAGGCUGCAUUCUCUCUCUGUGAGGGAGGUGUUAUUAUUACCAAGCCCAUUUUGCAGGAUGGUAAGCAAGCCGCCUCUGUCACACAACUAAGUGGCUGUGCUGAGAUUUGAACCCGGGGCUUUCUGACUCCAGAAACUCCACUGCACUCACUGACCCCCUGGGCCACCUCUUGGCCCCCUUUUCCUGCAAUCCUUUUGAUCACUGUUUGACAAACCAUUUCCUGCUUCCCCUUUCUCCUUGCUUUGGACAGGUACUAUGUCUCUUAUUCAUCUGUAUAUUCCGGGCACCUAACGAGGGCCUGGCACCCUUCAUCCAUUCAUCCCACUUUUCAAAAAAUGUUCUCUGUGCCAAUUGCUAGGAAUACAGGACAAGUCACAGAACAGCACACCCAGCCUAGGAGGGGGACAGGCAAUUAACAGGCGUCACAGUGUGGUGGGUGCUGGUAGGUAUCACAGGGGCCAAGAGAAGCACAGAAAAGGGCAACCAAGUCAGACUGAGGUGGUGGGGACCAGUCAACCAGUCGUGGAGGAGUCAGCAUCUGAGCUGAGUCCCAAAGGAGAAACAGGAGUAGAGCAGGUGAAAAAGCAGCCGUGGGUGUUUCAGGUGGAGGGAGCAGCACGUGGAGGAACGAGAGAGGCAAGACGGCAGCCUGUGGGAGCGACUGGACUAUGACAUGGGGGGAGUAGGGAGGCAUGAGGCUGGGGGAGGAUCUCAAGGCCCUCAGCCAGGGCUAGCAGUUUGGACUUGAUUUGGUAGGCACUGGGGAGCCGCCAAUGGGCGCUGAGCAGUGUGGGCCCUGGUCAGAUUUGCCUGGGCACUCUACAAAUACUUGAUGGAAUGAAUGAAUGAAAGAAGAAAUGGUAACUAUGGGGUCCCAUGCAUGUGUCCUGCAGAGAGGAGGGGGCGGUUAAUGAUCUGGCAGUGGAAGGACAAGGCAGGCAGACUCCCGGACACGAGCCAACCACUUCCCUCAGCUCCUCCUCCCUGGGCCUGUGACUCCCCUGCCUGGACACUAGUCACUUGCUGGGAUCUUUACGGGAGCCUCUGCACUAGUCCCCCUCUUUCUGCCCUGGCCUCUACAGUGUGUUCUCUAACACAGCCCCGGUGACCCUCUGAAGUCGGGUUCUCCACCCCAGCGCUCUGCCCAACCCCUUUGCCACCUCAGCUACAUCAAAAUGGAAGAAGAAAUUGCUGCUCUCGGCGUUUACAAUGGCUCUGGCAUGUGCAAAGUUGGCUUUAGCGGAAUGAUGCCCCCAGAGCAUCAUGGGAAAUGUGGGACAGGACAGAUACAUGGGUGAUGAGCUCAGAGCAAGAGCGACGUUCUGAGCCUGAAGCGCCUCAUUGAACUGGGCUGACAUGGAGAAAGACCUGGCAUCACACCCUCUACCCCCAGCUUCCUGUUGCCCCAAGGAACACCCUCUUCUCUUUACCAAAGUUCCACUGACCCCCAAGAGCAAUAGGGAGAGGACGGCCCAGCUCAACACCCUCCAGGCAUGCUGCUGCCCGGGUCGGGCCCUCCUCCAGGUGGUUGUGGACUCUGGAGUAGUGUUGCCCUCACAGUGCCUAUCAGUGAGGGUGACACCCUGCCCUCAGUGAGGGUGACACCCUGCCCUACGCCGGCCUCUGGACUUGACUGACCGUGACUUGGGAGAUGACCUCCUGGAGGAGAGCCUGACGGAAAGAGGUUACAGCCUCGCUACCACAGCUGAGAGGGACUGGUGUGUGACGCGGAGGGAAAGCUCUGCUGCAUCACCCUGGACCUGGAGCAGGAGAUGGCCCCCGCUGUGUCCUCCGCUUCCUCCCCGGAGAAGGGCUGUGAGCUUCUGAUGGUCAGGAGGUUGUCCUUGGCCAUGAGAGGUCCAGAUGUCCAGAGCGUCUCCUCCAGCCCUCGUUCCUGGGCUUGGCGUCCUGUGACAUUCAUGAAACCACUUUUAACUCGGUUCUGAAGUGUGCGAUUGACCUCUGAAAGGAUCUGUGUGCCCACACAGCAUUGCAGGGGGGCCAACAGAACGCAGGGAGAAAUCACGGCCAAUGAAGACAGUUUCUCCUUAGGCACUAAAAAUCCGGAGCGGUGGCUUCCUUGCAGGCUGCUCUCUCCGCCUUCCAGCAGAUGUGGAUCAGCAAGCAGCAGGGGGACGGGUCAGGCCCUCUGACUGUCCGCUACAAAUGCCUCCAAUGAUGCAACUGCAGAAUGUCUGUUGCAUGAGUUCAUUCACAAGUAUAACUUUACCCUGGCAAAAUAUAUACGCUUACGCUGGCCUCCUGAAACUGGAGCAGCUUUUGAGAAGAAAUCUGCCCAAUACUGAAAUGAACACCAUCCUCGGGUUGUAAAAUAAGAGAGAUGCUUCCGGAGGCCGGAGACUGAGCCUGUCCUGUUCUGUCCUGUGUCCCUGGCACCUGGAAUAGGGCCCAGCACACAGUAGAUGGAGAAACUGAGGCCCAGAGAGGGGAAGCGAUGUGUCCCAGGUCACAGAGAAAGCUAGCGACAGACAAUGGACUCAAACCCACGGCACCGUCUGGGCUUUUGCCUCUCUUCUCGUCCCGUCCUUCUGUCCCGCCCACCCUUUCCUCCCACAGGCCUGCAGCCAAUCUUUCCCAAGUGCCACUUUGGGCCAGCCUGGUGCCCUGGGCCCUGGGCUUCCUGCCCUGGAAGCUCAGGCUGCCUGAGGCUAUGUCAUUGCCACUUCCUCCUGUCAGACCUCCAGAGCUGCCUGCCCCUCCUCCCCACACCCUGUCCCGGCCACAGACUCUGCUACUCGUUUAAAAAUCCUGAUGCCCAGGUUGCUCCCCAGACCAAUGAGAUCAGAAUGUCUGGCGGGGGGGGGGGGGGGGGGGGGGGGGGGGAGGGGAUGGUCCAGGCAUCAGGGUUUUUUUUUUUUAAGAUGUCGGGGUGAUUCCAUUUGUAGCAAAGUUUCGAAACCUCUGUUUUAGCCUUGAUAAAUGGCACCUCCACCUCCUGUUCCUUGGCCCCUAGGCUGCAGAUAUUCUUUCUCGGGAUCUACUUUCUGGAUGCCUGGGCCUGGGCCCCAGGACAGUCCUCAGCUGGGCAAUCCCAACUCCUUCCUGCUCCUGCCCUUUGCCCAACAGGUCUCCGGUCUGCCGAGAUUGCCUGUUCUGAUCUGCCUCACCACUGCCAGGAACUCACUAAAUAUUUGUUGGUAAUGAUGUUGAUAAAUAUUUGCUGUUAAUGACCUCAGUCUGACCAAGAGGAUCCUUGAUGUAGAAGAAAGAAAAGGGCUUUUUUUUGGUGAGGAAGAUUGGCCCUGAGCUAACAUCUGUUGCCUAUCUUCCUUUUUUUUCGUUCCUCUCCACAGCCCCGGUACAUAGUUGUGUAUCCUAGUUGUAGGUCAUUCUAGUUCUUCUAUGUGGGACGCUGCCACAGCAUGGCUUGAUGAGUGAUGUGUAUGUCUGCGCCCAGGACCUGAACUGGGGAAGCCCAGGCUGCGGAAGCAGAGCACAUGAACUUAACCUUUUGGCCGUGGGGCGGGCCCCAAGAAAAGGGCUUUGAGAUUCGCCUUUUCUGGACAUUUCAGAUCAAUGCAAUUGUGCAGCACGCGUGUCUUGCACCUGGCUUCUUU